rnacentral:rRNA from 1 species
UGAACGGCAAUAGCUGGUUGCACUAUCUAUAACUUAGUGCAAAAUCGACUCUGUCGAAUAAAAUUCUAGGUAGAAGUAUGAUAAUGACAUUAUCUAUCUAUGUGUCUUGACCAAAUUACGUGCCAGCAGUCGCGGUAAUACGUAAAAGACUAGUGUUAUUCAUCUUUAAUAGGUUUAAAGGGUACUUAGACGGUAAAUCAAGCCCGAAAAGGGAACUAAUGUACUAGAGUUUGAUGUAAGGAAGUAUAAAAGUACUGUUGGUGUAGAGAUAAAAUUCUAUCAUACC